rnacentral:rRNA from 1 species
GACGAACGCUGGCGGCGUGCUUAACACAUGCAAGUCGAACGGAAAGGCCCUGCUUUUGUGGGGUUCUCGAGUGGCGAACGGGUGAGUAACACGUGAGUAACCUGCCCUUGACUUUGGGAUAACUUCAGGAAACUGGGGCUAAUACCGGAUAGGAGCUCCUGCUGCAUGGUGGGGGUUGGAAAGUUUCGGCGGUUGGGGAUGGACUCGCGGCUUAUCAGCUUGUUGGUGGGGUAGUGGCUUACCAAGGCUUUGACGGGUCGCCGGCCUGCGAGGGUGACCGGCCACAUUGGGACUGCGAGACGGACCAGACUCCUACGGGAGGCAGCAGUGGGAAAUAUUGCACAAUGGGCGGAAGUCUGAUGCAGAGACGCCGCGUGCGGGAUGAAGGCCUUCGGGUGGUAAACCGCUUUCGCCUGUGACGAAGCGUGAGUGACGGUAAUGGGUAAAGAAGCACCGGCUAACUACGUG